AGUGAACGCUGGCGGUAGGCCUAACACAUGCAAGUCGAACGGCAGCACAGUAAGAGCUUGCUCUUACGGGUGGCGAGUGGCGGACGGGUGAGGAAUACAUCGGAAUCUACUUUUUCGUGGGGGAUAACGUAGGGAAACUUACGCUAAUACCGCAUACGACCUACGGCUGAAAGCAGGGGAUCUUCGGACCUUGCGCGAUUCAAUGAGCCGAUGUCGGAUUAGCUAGUUGGCGGGGUAAAGGCCCACCAAGGCGACGAUCCGUAGCUGGUCUGAGAGGACGAUCAGCCACACUGGAACUGAGACACGGUCCAGACUCCUACGGGAGGCAGCAGUGGGGAAUAUUGGACAAUGGGCGCAAGCCUGAUCCAGCCAUACCGCGUGGGUGAAGAAGGCCUUCGGGUUGUAAAGCCCUUUUGUUGGGAAAGAAAAGCAGCAGGUUAAUACCCCGCUGUUCUGACGGUACCCAAAGAAUAAGCACCGGCUAACUUCGUG
rnacentral:rRNA from 1 species